CCUACGGGAGGCAGCAGUAGGGAAUCUUCGUCAAUGGGCGCAAGCCUGAACGAGCAAUGCCGCGUGAACGAGGAAGGUCUUCGGAUCGUAAAGUUCUGUUGAAGGGGAAAAAGAGCGGAGAGAGGAAAUGGUCUCCGAUUGAUAUUACCCUUCGAGGAAGUCACGGCUAACUACGUGCCAGCAGCCGCGGUAAUACGGAGGUGGCGAGCGUUAUCCGGAAUGAUUGGGCGUAAAGGGUGCGUAGGCGGCCUGCUAAGUCUGGAGUGAAAGGUACCGGCUCAACCGGUAUAGGCUCUGGAAACUGGCGGGCUAGAGAGCAGGAGAGGGCGGUGGAACUCCAUGUGUAGCGGUAAAAUGCGUAGAUAUAUGGAAGAACACCAGUGGCGAAGGCGACCGCCUGGCCUGUUACUGACGCUGAGGCACGAAAGCGUGGGGAGCAAAUAGGAUUAGAUACCCCGGUAGUC
rnacentral:rRNA from 1 species